rnacentral:lncRNA from 1 species
CGGGGGGUGGGAAGCCGAUUGGGCUUAUUCCCAUUCAGAAUUUAGAGGCUGGUGGAGACAGAGAGUCUCCUAAAUGGAUGCAAGUCUCCUGAAAGUCUGGGACGGAAGCCUCGAAACUUUCUGCCACGCAAAGCCCCAGCUAGUGGCCAGGGCUCGGUCCUGGUUCUCUUUGUGCAGGCCCGGAAGUGUCCGCCCGGUUUUCCCACUGCCUGGAGGGGCCUAGGGUCGCGGAUAGACUCGGACAAGGCUCCGUUUACGUUCAGUUUGUCUUAAUUGACUAAUGACGGGACUCGUUGUAAUGCGUGCUCCGAGAUUUUCUCCAGGAUUUGUCACUUUAAUUUUGCAGUAUGAGAAAGAGAAGCUAACAAAGGAAAGCCUCUUCGAAAAAUGGGAUUUCCUUGGCCUUAGCAGUGCUGGUGUGUUCCACUACCAACACUAGACAGAAAAUGUCCAGUGUUGAUAGAAAUUACCUCUAAAGUCUUGAAUCUGGAAGAAGCUGGAGAAAUGGCUCUUGGAUUCUAAUACUGGCAUUUCUUUGGUGACUGUUUCCCAUGAAUUACCUCAACUUACACUGAAAGCCACAAGAAAGCCAAAAAAUGCAAACUGCAAGCCUGAAUAUGCCUACAAAUUACCUGUGC